GAAAGGAGGGGGAUGCCUAAGGUAGGACUGGUGACUGGGGUGAAGUCGUAACAAGGUAGCCGUACCGGAAGGUGUGGCUGGAUCACCUCCUUUUAGGGAG
rnacentral:rRNA from 2 species